CUACCAGUUGUCAGUCGACGGUAUUACUUAGGAUCUUGCUCCUUGGGUGACGAGUGGCUUUUUGAUGAGUUAUGUCUGCCAAACUGCCCGAUGGAGGGCAAUUACUACUGGAAACGGUAGCUAAUACCGCAUAACGCCGCAAGACCAAAGAGGGGGACCUUCGGGCCUCUUGCCAUCGGAUGUGCCCAGAUGGGAUUAGCUAGUAGGUGGGGUAACGGCUCACCUAGGCGACCAUCCCUAGCUGGUCUGAGAUGAUGACCAGCCACACUGGAACUGACACACCCCCCAUACUCCUACGGGAGGCAGCAGUGGGGAAUAUUGCAUGAUGGGCGCAAGCCUGAUGCAAUCAUGCCGCGUGUAUGAAGAAGGUCUUCGGGUUGUAAAGUACUUUCACCGAGGAGGAUGGUGUUGUGGUUAACAACCGCAGCUGUUGAGUGUUACGUCGAAAAAUAACCGCCGGCUAACUCCGUGCCAGCAGCCGCGAUAAUACGGAAGGUGCUAGCGUUAAUCGGAAUUACUGGCCGUAACCCCCCCCGCCGGCGGGCCCUCCAAGUCAGAUGAGAAUCCCCGGACCCUAACCUGGGGAACUGCAUACGAAACUGUGUUUGUAGAGUCUUGUAGAGAGGCGUCUACAUUCCGGGAGUAUCGGGUAAUGCGCAUAAGAUCUCGGAGUAUACCCCGUGGGAAUGGGCCCUCGUUCUGCACCAAAGCUUCCUCUGGUGAGAAACU
rnacentral:rRNA from 1 species